CUUUAUUAAGUGUGAUAGUCACGUUCUUAACUUUUCAUAUGCGCACAGUAUCCCACCUGAUUGAAAACGCCUAUUUAGAUGUUAAAAUAAAAAUCAAACUGAAAGGAUAUAAUUGCCUAAGAAGUAGCAAAAUUUUUGAACAUUCAUCGUUUAGUUUUCGGAAUAAAGAUUUUAUUUGAACAAUUUUAUCAUUUCAACCGGAGUCGCGGACGAAUUUAACAUCUAAAUUGACAUUUUCAGUUAGGUGAGGAUACCACGUGGAAUGUUAAAAGAUAGGUGACGUGAAUAGGGGCGGAGCCAUAUACAGUUGAGUGGAGGCCAAUGCCUGCGCUCAACUUUGGGCUGCCCCUGUGCCCCAGUUAAAGAAUUGCCACUGUUUUCCAUCAGAAUUGGAGAAGGACCUAGUAGGAGAAGAAGAAAUUUGGAAAAUGAAGGGCGGGUACGGGGUUCAUCAUGCUCCUUUGCAAUAACGAGACGAUGGAAAGGUCUGGUCAUGGCUGUUUUGGGUCAGAAAUUUGGAAAAUGAAGGGCGGGUACGGGGUUCAUCAUGCUCCUUUGCAAUAAAGAGACGAUGGAAAGGUCUGGUCAUGGCUGUUUUGGGUCUCGUGUUUCUUUCCAUGCUGGUUCCUAAACAACUUUUAUAAGCAUUUUACAAGUCACUUUGUUAUAAAGAAAUUUUUUUUUACACUUCAAAUUUGACCGUAAAUUAUGCUCACACUGAAAUUUUUUUCUAGCUCCGCCCCUGGACGUGAAUGCCAUAAAUAAAAGCUUGAGGAUAUAGCUGGCACACUUACGAAAAGUGAAGAACCUUUGGAGAAAUUUACCCCGAAAUAUUAUUCAUUUUGUAUUAAACUCAACAUCAAAAUUUUCAAUUCCAAACAAUUCGGCCACAUUAC
rnacentral:lncRNA from 1 species